GGCUGCGAUCAUACCAGUACUAAUGCACCGGAUCCCAUCAGAACUCCGCAGUUAAGCGUGCUUGGGCGAGAGUAGUACUAGGAUGGGUGACCCCCUGGGAAGUCCUCGUGUUGCAACCC
rnacentral:rRNA from 1 species